rnacentral:lncRNA from 1 species
GCCAGCAUUACUGUUAGUUAAUGUCUAGAUGAAGGGCCAGCAUUACUGUUAGUUAAUGUCUAUAUGAAGGGCCAGCAUUACUGUUAGUUAAUGUCUAUAUGAAGGGCCAGCAUUACUAUUAGUUAAUGUCUAUAUGAAGGGCCAGCAUUACUGUUAGUUAAUGUCUACAUGAAGGGCCAGCAUUACUGUUAGGUAAUGUCUAUAUGAGGGGCCAGCAUUACUGUUAGUUAAUGUCUAUAUGAAGGGCCAGCAUUACUGGUUAGUUAAUGUCUAUAUGAAGGGCCAGCAUUACUGUUAGUUAAUGUCUAUAUGAAGGGCCAGCAUUACUGUUAGUUAAUGUCUAUAUGAAGGGCCAGCAUUACUGUUAGUUAAUGUCUAUAUGAAGGGCCAGCAUUACUGUUAGUUAAUGUCUAUAUGAAGGGCCAGCAUUACUGGUUAGUUAAUGUCUAUAUGAAGGGCCAGCAUUACUGUUAGUUAAUGUCUACAUGAAGGGCCAGCAUUACUGGUUAGUUAAUGUCUAGAUGAAGGGCCAGCAUUACUGGUUAGUUAAUGUC